GAGGGGAUAGCUCAGUGGUAGAGCGGGUGCUUAGCAUGCAUGAGGUCCUGGGUUCAAUCCCCAGCAACUUUA
rnacentral:tRNA from 1 species